UGCAGAAUCCCGUGAACCAUCGAGUCUUUGAACGCAAGUUGCGCCCGAUGCCAUUAGGCUGAGGGCACGUCUGCCUGGGCGUCACAUAUCGAAGCCUCUCGCCAAUUUCCUAUAUUGAUAGGGGUAUUGUGCAGGGCGAAUGUUGGCCUCCCGUGAGCUCUAUUGCCUCAUGGUUGGUUGAAAAUUGAGACCUUGGUAGGGUGUGCCAUGAUAGAUGGUGGCUGUGUUACGCACGAGACCAAGUAAGUCAUGUGCUGCUCUAUCGAAUUUAGGCCUCUUUUACCCACAUGCGUUUCGAAACGCUCGUGAUGAGACCUCAGGUCAGGCGGGGCUACCCGCUGAAUUUAAGCAUAUCAAUAAGCGGAGGAAAAGAAACUAACAAGGAUUCCCUUAGUAACGGCGAGCGAACCGGGAUAAGCCCACCAUGAGAAUCGGUCGCCCUCGGCGUUCGA
rnacentral:rRNA from 1 species